rnacentral:rRNA from 1 species
AUGUGGUUUAAGUUCGAAGCAACGCGAAGAACCUUACCAGGUCUUGACAUCCCGAUGCUAUUUCUAGAGAUAGAAAGUUACUUCGGUACAUCGGUGACAGGUGGUGCAUGGUUGUCGUCAGCUCGUGUCGUGAGAUGUUGGGUUAAGUCCCGCAACGAGCGCAACCCCUAUUGUUAGUUGCCAUCAUUCAGUUGGGCACUCUAGCGAGACUGCCGGUAAUAAACCGGAGGAAGGUGGGGAUGACGUCAAAUCAUCAUGCCCCUUAUGACCUGGGCUACACACGUGCUACAAUGGUUGGUACAACGAGUUGCGAGUCGGUGACGGCGAGCUAAUCUCUUAAAGCCAAUCUCAGUUCGGAUUGUAGGCUGCAACUCGCCUACAUGAAGUCGGAAUCGCUAGUAAUCGCGGAUCAGCACGCCGCGGUGAAUACGUUCCCGGGCCUU